CGCGUAGGCGGACAUUUAAGUUGUGGGUGAAAUGCCGAGGCUUAACCUCGGAACUGCCUGCAAAACUGGGUGUCUUGAGGUAUGGAGAGGGAAGUGGAAUUCCAGGUGUAGCGGUGAAAUGCGUAGAUAUCUGGAGGAACACCCGUGGCGAAGGCGGCUUCCUGGCCAUAUCCUGACGCUGAGGUGCGAAAGCUAGGGGAGCGAACGGGAUUAGAUACCCCGGUAGUCCUAGCCGUAAACGAUGGAUACUAGGUGUUAGAGGUAUCGACCCCUCUAGUGCCGGAGCUAACGCAUUAAGUAUCCCGCCUGGGGAGUACGACCGCAAGGUUGAA
rnacentral:rRNA from 1 species